AUAAUACUCCCUCCGUUUCGAAUUACUUGUCACAAGUAUGGAUGUAUCUAAGAUGUAUUUUAGUUCUAGAUACAUUCAUUUCUACGACGAGUAAUUUAAAACAGAGGAAGUACACG
rnacentral:pre_miRNA from 1 species